rnacentral:rRNA from 1 species
UACGGAGGGUGCAAGCGUUAUCCGGAUUCACUGGGUUUAAAGGGUGCGUAGGCGGGUUGAUAAGUCAGUGGUGAAAGCUCCGGGCUUAACUUGGAAACUGCCAUUGAUACUGUCAAUCUUGAAUGUCGUAGAGGUAAGCGGAAUGUUGCAUGUAGCGGUGAAAUGCUUAGAUAUGUUACAGAACACCAAUUGCGAAGGCAGCUUACUAUGCGAUAAUUGACGCUGAGGCACGAAAGCGUGGGGAGCAAACAGGAUUAGAUACCCUGGUAGUCCACGCCCUAAACGAUGAUUACUCGAUGUUGGCGAUAUACAGUCAGCGUCUUAGCGAAAGCGUUAAGUAAUCCACCUGGGGAGUACGCUCGCAAGAGUGAA